AAAAAAAUAAACCAUGACUUUUCAUGUAACGUUUGACUGUUUGUAUUAUAUGAAUUUUUUUAUAAUUAAUAUUUUUAUUAUUGUUAGAAGAUAAAGCAUGAUUAAUUCUUUAUGCGUGACUUGUCUUUUUAAUUUUUUCAUAAUUUUUUUCAAAUAAGACGGAUGGUCAAACGUUGGGCACGGAAACUCAGGGUUUGUCUUUUU
rfam:Oryza rufipogon genomic scaffold, chr03